rnacentral:rRNA from 1 species
AUCAGCCUACGGGGGGCAGCAGUGGGGUAUAUUGCACAAUGGGGGGAACCCUGAUGCAGCGACGCCGCGUGGGUGAAGGAGCGUUUCGGCGCGUAAAGCCCUAUCGGCAGGGGAGAAGAUGACGGUACCUUACCAAGAAGCCCCGGCUAACUACGUGCCAGCAGCCGCGGUGAUACGUAGGGGGCAAGCGUUAUCCGGAUUUACUGGGUGUAAAGGGGGCGCAGACGGCAAUGCAAGCCAG